rnacentral:misc_RNA from 1 species
GAUGAAGAACGCAGUGAAAUGCGAUAAGUAGUGUGAAUUGCAGAAUUCAGUGAAUCAUCGAAUCUUUGAACGCACAUUGCGCCCCUUGGUAUCACGAGGGGCAUGCCUGUUCGAGCGUCAUUUCACCACUCAAGCCUGGCUUGGUGUUGGGCGACGUCCCCUUUAGGGACGCGCCUCGAAACGCUCGGCGGCGCGGCACCGGCUUUAAGCGUAGCAGAAUCUUUCGCUUUGGAAGUCGGGGCCCCGCCUGCCGGAAUACCUACUUGUAAGGUUGACCUCGGAUCAGGCAGGGAUACCCGCUGAACUUAAGCAUAUCAAUAAGCGGAGGA